CCGGGAGGAAAAGAGUAGGUUUCCCUAAGAGCGUUCAGCUCCUCUAAGGUCAGGAUAUUUGUUUUUUCCUCUACUGAGGGGUGAAUGGCGAUCAAAGGGUUCUCCUCGGGUGAACCCUCUACGGGCGAGGAAGGAGAUUGAUUUACCUCGUCGGCCAUGUAGGAGGAGCCUUGUCCUAAGUGGUCGGAUAUCCACGAGGGUAACGAAUCUAAGUCGCCCGAUCUAGUUACGUCAGAAUUACGGACAUAAACUACGAAAACG
rnacentral:lncRNA from 1 species